rnacentral:tRNA from 1 species
GCUCCUGUAGUUCAGCGGCCAGAGCAUCCGCCUUCUAAGCGGAGAGUCGUCGGUUCGAAUCCGACCAGGAGUA